GUUAAAGCUAUUCAAAGUUUUCAGAGACAGUAAUUCAAAGUGAAAUUUUCAUAAUUUAUUUUCAUUUUAUUGUAAUUAAAUUCAUUUGCGGGCCCCCAGAAUGUUAAGAAUUGCACAUGAGGUGUUCCCGCUACCGCUCUCCAUGUACACGACGUCACCGUUGUUGUGACGUUAGCUUUUCAGAGUUCAAUACAUGUAUCAUUGCAAGCAGACGUUCUUAUUUACUAAGCCUUAAUUUGUGUCCGAUACAACCAC
rnacentral:lncRNA from 1 species